UGUCCACAUUAGAGGGUGGGAUCGCCCACCUCUGCCCCCAGGCCAGGCUCACACCUUGAGACCUACGUUCUCAAACCCAAGUGAGACCUCGGACAGGUAAACGCAAUCAUUUUGAAACACCCUGCAGAUUCCAAGCGGGGCAAAGAAAUGCAACUUUUUCCCACGUUCUGUUCGGUCAACGAGGAUAGAGGGAUAGAAACAAGGAGAGGAAAACCUCAAGGAACAGGCCCAAUCCAACCGAGGAUGCUUCGUGAUUUCUUUUAAUCAUCAUGUUAAAGUGGCUCUGUUUGUUUG